AGUGGAACGCAUUGGUAACACCGGACUUGCUCCAGUGUUACUAAUGAGUCGCGAACGGGUGAGUAACGCGUAGGUAACCUGCCUGAUAGCGGGGGAUAACUAUUGGAAACGAUAGCUAAUACCGCAUAAGAGGAGUUAACUCAUGUUAACUGUUUAAAAGAAGCAAUGGCUUCACUAUCAGAUGGACCUGCGUUGUAUUAGCUAGUAGGUAGGGUAACGGCCUACCUAGGCACCGAUACAUAGCCGACCUGAGAGGGUGAACGGCCACACUGGGACUGAGACACGGCCCAGACUCCUACGGGAGGCAGCAGUAGGGAAUCUUCGGCAAUGGACGCAAGUCUGACCGAGCAACGCCGCGUGAGUGAAGACGGUUUUCGGAUCGUAAAGCUCUGUUGUAGGGGAAGAACGUGUGUAAGAGUGGAAAGCUUACACAGUGACGGUAUCCUACCAGAAAGGGACGGCUAACUACGUGCCAGCAGCCGCGGUAAUACGUAGGUCCCGAGCGUUGUCCGGAUUUAUUGGGCGUAAAGGGAGCGCAGGCGGUUUAGUAAGUCUGAAGUUAAAGGCAUUGGCUCAACCAAUGUAUGCUUUGGAAACUGUUAGACUUGAGUGCAGAAGGGGAGAGUGGAAUU
rnacentral:rRNA from 1 species